rnacentral:rRNA from 1 species
AUUGAACGCUGGCGGCAUGGCUAAAACAUGCAAGUCGAGCGCGAAAGCCCUUCGGGGCGAGUAGAGCGGCGCAAGGGCGAGUAAUGCAUGCCUGACGUACCCCCAGGUGCGGGAUAGCUAGGGGAAACCCUGGGUAAUACCGCAUAAUCCGGCAACGGCAAAGGCUUGCUGCCUGGGGAUCGGGGCAUGUCCUAUCAGCUUGUUGGUGAGGUAACGGCUCACCAAGGCAAAGACGGGUAGCGGGUGUGAGAGCAUGACCCGCCGCAUCGGGACUGAGACACUGCCCGGACUCCUACGGGAGGCUGCAGUAACGAAUAUUCCGCAAUGCGCGAAAGCGUGACGGAGCAAUGCCGCGUGAAGGAUGAAGCCCCUCGGGGUGUAAACUUCUGUCAGGGUUUAGGAAUACUGACCAGACCCAGAGGAAGGACCGGCUAACUCUGUGCCAGCAGCCGCGGUAAUACAGAGGGUCCAAGCGUUAAUCGGAAUCACUGGGCUUAAAGCGUGCGCAGGCGGACUGGCAAGUGCCUUGUGAAAUCCCACGGCUCAACCGUGGAAUUGCUCGGCAGACUGCCCGUCUUGAGCCCGGCAGGGGCCGUCAGAACGGUAGGUGGAGCGGUGAAAUGCGUAGAUAUCUACCGGAAUGCCAAAGGGGAAGCCAGACGGCUGGGCCGGAGCUGACGCUCAGGCACGAAAGCGUGGGUAGCGAACGGGAUUAGAUACCCCGGUAGUCCACGCCCUAAACGAUGUGCACUAGAUCGAGGAGGUUUCAACGCCAUCUCGGUCGUAGC